ACCGAAAUAGCUCAGUUGGGAGAGCGUUAGACUAUAGAUCGAAAGGUCCCUGGUUCGAUCCGGGAUUCAGCA
rnacentral:tRNA from 1 species